rnacentral:misc_RNA from 1 species
GAUGAAGAACGUGGUGAAAUGCGAUAAGUAAUGUGAAUUGCAGAAUUCAGUGAAUCAUCGAAUCUUUGAACGCACAUUGCGCCCCUUGGUAUUCCGAGGGGCAUGCCUGUUCGAGCGUCAUUAUAACCCCUCAAGCUCAGCUUGGUGUUGGGGCCUGCUGCACUGGCAGCCCUUAAAAUCAGUGGCGGCGCCAUCUGGCUCUAAGCGUAGUAAUUCUUCUCGCUAUGGAGUCCUGGUGGAUGCUUGCCAUCAACCCCCAAUUUUUCUAUGGUUGACCUCGGAUCAGGUAGGGAUACCCGCUGAACUUAAGCAUAUCAAUAAGCGGAGGA